rnacentral:rRNA from 1 species
UACGGAGGGUGCGAGCGUUGUCCGGAAUCAUUGGGCGUAAAGGGCGCGUAGGUGGCCCGGUCAGUCUUUGGUGAAAGCGCGGGGCUCAACCCUGCGUCGGCCAGGGAUACUGCCGCGGCUCGAGCACUGUAGAGGCAGGCGGAAUUCCGGGUGUAGCGGUGGAAUGCGUAGAGAUCCGCAAGAACACCAGUGGCGAAGGCGGCUCACUGGCCCGAUACUGACGCUGAGGCACGAAAGCGUGGGGAGCAAACAGG